AGAGUUUGAUCCUGGCUCAGGAUGAACGCUAGCUACAGGCUUAACGCAUGCAAGUCGAGGGGCAGCAUUGGAGUAGCAAUACUUCAGAUGGCGACCGGCGCACGGCCUUUCGAAAGAAAGAUUAAUACCCGAUGGUAUAAAGAGUUCGCAUGUUCUCUUUAUUAAAGAAUUUCGGUAAGCGAUGGGGAUGCGUUGCAUUAGAUUGUUGGCGGGGUAACGGCCCACCAAGUCUACGAUGGAUAGGGGUUCUGAGAGGAAGGUCCCCCACAUUGGAACUGAGACACGGUCCAAACUCCUACGGGAGGCAGCAGUGAGGAAUAUUGGUCAAUGGACGAGAGUCUGAACCAGCCAAGUAGCGUGAAGGAUGACUGCCCUAUGGGUUGUAAACUUCUUUUAUAAGGGAAUAAAGUGAGGGACGUGUCCCUUUUUGUAUGUACCUUAUGAAUAAGGAUCGGCUAACUCCGUGCCAGCAGCCGCGGUAA
rnacentral:rRNA from 1 species